rnacentral:rRNA from 1 species
UACGUAGGGGGCUAGCGUUGUCCGGAAUCAUUGGGCGUAAAGAGCGUGUAGGCGGCCCGGCAAGUCCGCUGUGAAAGUCGGGGGCUCAACCCUCGAAUGCCGGUGGAUACUGUCGGGCUAGAGUGCGGAAGAGGCGAGUGGAAUUCCUGGUGUAGCGGUGAAAUGCGCAGAUAUCAGGAGGAACACCAAUUGCGAAGGCAGCUCGCUGGGACGCAACUGACGCUGAGACGCGAAAGCGUGGGGAGCAAACAGG